rnacentral:lncRNA from 1 species
ACAGUCUUGAGCUUGAGCUCUUUGUGGCUCAAGUUCCCUAUCCAUGGAAAAGUUGUGCCUUAAUAGAUGCUGUCUGGACACCUGUAUUGGACAAAGGGCCCAUGUGGGUUUCUGUUGAGGUGAUUUAUGGCUAUCCACUUGGCCUCUGUAGGCCCCGGGGCUCUGCCUAAUGAUUCCA